rnacentral:piRNA from 1 species
UAUAACUGACAGCGGUGGCACUGCCCGGG